CACCCUACAUUUUUCAGCUAAUAUCCAUAGAUGAAUUAAGAAUCACUAUGCAGGUGCUGGAUGUACUUAUAAUUGCAGAUACACAACAAGCCCAGCAUCAGAAAUUCCUUCUGCAAAGUGUCUUUGCAGACAUUCCACAUGCACUGUGGUAUCAGAUAUACCAGAGCUGUUUCCAGGAGGGUGGUUAACCUGACAAAUGAAAAAUCAUCCUGUUUUGCAACAUCCUGCUUUGGUUACACAGAAAUUCUUCAGAAAAGACUUCAGAAAAUCCAGGAGCUGAACUCAGUCUCCUGGCUAUCAUUUCUGCCUAUCAUCACAGGAUUUAGCCUUCUGCCAAGAAUAGAAGUGAAUCACUUUUCUUAGGAAUGGUAUGCUGUUGACAAGGCAGUGACAGUUACAAAUGCUGUAGCAACCCACUUUCUCCUCGGGGAAAACAAGAAACUUCUAUUUAAAGAGUACACACUCCUGGAAUAAGAGCCUAAUGGAUUCUAUACCUUCUACGACUCAUCACAGAGUGGGAAUAUCUGCUUUCCAAAGAUCCUCCUCCAAAGAGAAAGGGAGAUCAUAGAAUCGUAGAAUCAUAGAAUCAGUCAGGUUGGAAAAGACCUUAAAGAUCAUCGAGUCCAACCAUGCCCUAACCAUACUAACCUAACUAACAACCCUCCACUAAAUCAUGUCCCUGAGCACCACAUCCAAAUGGUUUUCAAACACAUCCAGGGAUGGGGAUUCAACCACCUCCCUGGGGAGCCUAUUCCAGUGUUUAACAACCCUUUCUGUAAAGAAUUGUUUCCUAAUAUCCAACCUAAACUUACCCUGGUGCAACUUGAGGCCAUUCCCCCUUGUCCUGUCACCUGUUAGCAGUGAGAAGGGACCAACCCUGCUCUUGCUGUAAGCACCUCUCAGAUGUUGGAAGAGAUCAAUAAGGUCUCCCCUCAACCUCCUCUUCCCCAGACUAAACAGUCCCAGUUCUUUAGUCGCAGCUCAUAGGGCAUAUUCUCCAAGCACUUCACAAGCCUUGCUGCUUUUCUUUGGACCUGCUCCAGCACCUCCAUGUCCUUUCUGUACUGAGGUGCCCAAAACUGAACAAAGAACUUGAGGUGAGGCCUCACCAGUGCCAAGUACAGGGGCAGGAUGACUUCCCUAGUCCUGCUCACCACACCAUUCCUAAUACAAGCCAGGAUGCCAUUGGCCUUCUUGGCCACCCGGGCACACUGCUGGCUCAUAUUCUACUGACUGUCCAUCAGUACACCAAGGUCCCUUUCCAUCAGGCAGCUUUCCAGCCACACCUCCCCAAGCCUGUAGGGUUACCUGAGGUUCUUGUGACUAAAAUGUAGGACCUGACACCUACUCCUAUUGAAACUCAUGCCGUUAACCUCGGCCCAUUGAUCCAGUCUAUCCAGGUCCCUCUGUAGUGCCCUUCUCCCCUCUGGCAGAUCAACACUCCCUCCCAACUUGUUGUUGUCUGCAAACUUACUGAGGGUGCACUCAAUCCCCUCAUCAAGAUCAUUAAUAAAGAUGUUAAACAGAAGCAGCCUCAGUACCGAGCCCUGGGGGACACCGGUCGUGACCAACCACCAGCUGGAUUUAACUUCAUUGACAACUCUUUGGGCCUGGCCAUUCAGCCAGUGUUUCACCCAGUGGAGUGUAUGUCCAUCUUAACAGUGGGCAGCCAGCUUCUCCAUGAGAAUGUUGUGGGAGACAGCGUCAAAGGCCUUACUGAAGUCCAGGUAAGACUUCAAUAGUCAUCAACAGCCUCAUCCACUAAGCAGGCCACCUUGUAAUGGAGCGAAAUCAGGUUUGUCAGACAGGAUCUACCAUUCGUAAACCCAUGCUGACUGGGCCUGAUCCCCUGGUUGACCUUUAACUGGUCCAUGAUGGUUCCUGAGAAUAUCCGUUCCAAAACCUUCCCAGGCACUGAGGUGAGACUGAUAGGCCUGUAGCUACCAGGAUCAUCUUUCUGGCCUUUUUUGAAGGUCACAUUUGCCAGUCUCCAGUCAGCCAGGACAUCACCAGUUAGCCAGGACUGCUGAAGAAUGAUGGAGAGUUAUUUGGCAACGACAUCUGUCAACUCCCUCAGCACUCUAGGGUGCAAUCUAUCCGGCCCCAUGGACUUGUGAGUGUCCAGCUUUCAGAGCAGGUCCAAAACCAUCUCAUCAUGGAUCAUGCAGGGCUUAUUCUGUUACCCAUCUCUAUCUACCAGCACAGGGGUCUGUGUUCCCAGGGAGUAACAAGUCUUAGUAUUAAAGACUGAGGCAAAGAGGGCAUUAAGUACCUCAGCCUUAUCCUGAUCCUUGGUCACCAAGUUGCCCUCAGCAUCCAACAAGGAAUGAAGAUCAUCCCUAGCCCUCCUCUUGCUGCUGAUGUAUUUAUAAAAAUAUUUACUGCUUUCCCUUACCUUAGUGGCCAAGUUCAGUUCUAGCUGGGCUUCAGCUUUUCUAAUUUUCUCCCUGCACAAAUACUUUAAUCCAAAAACAACGUAACAGACUGGAAAGGAUCCAAAUGAGAACCACAGUGAUGACAAGAAGGCAGUAGAACCUACCCUGUGGGAAGACACUGAAUGAGUUACUUAAACACAGUAAAAGCUGAAUUAUUCAAUAGUCAAAUUUGUCUCAUGUCUGUUUGAAACUGUGGAAAAAGCAGAUGCAAAUCCAAAAAUCUGUCAGUUCCUCAGUUGUGAAGCUUACAGACAAAGGGAGUAAACAUUCAAUAUAUGCAUUCAUUAGACAUGGAAAAUAUCUAUUGCAUUUAUUUUUUGUUUAAUUUUAAAGGAUCAUAUGACUUUUUUUUAGUUUCCUUCUCCAUAGUUCUAUGCCAUGUUUCUUUGCUUUUCAACAUGUGAAUGACACUGACAGAAAACAGGGGAAAAUGAUUGCUUGAGAGUGAGAGUGCCUCAGUCUUCAAAGUGUUUAUCUUAUUUUUAUAUAAGAAAAAUUAAAUGUUUCUAAUUCUACUCUGUGUAAUUAUUCAAUAUAAGAGGAUGAUGAUAACUGGCAAGAAGAAAAAAGUAUGUAGUGAUAUAGUGACAGCUGAGAAGAUGCGUAGUAUUUAAGGUAAAGAUUUGAUUUCAAGGAAACUUGACCACAGCUUUCAAGGAACUAAUAGUCCACAUUCAUAUUUCAUUUACUUUUAAUUAAUAUACACACAAAUGUAUAUAGGAAAAUUCAAUUUGUAUUUCUCAUAUAUUCUAUACGUAUAUUCUAAUUUUUUAGGUGGAACAUACACAAUAUCAAGGCACUUUGUCUAGUUAAUUUUUUUAUCAGAAUUCUUUUCAAUAUAGCUAUCAAAGGUCGAUAUUAAAAACAUUUAAAAUGAUCUGGGAAUGUAUCCUUAAUUUUUAACAUAGUCACAUUUUUAAAUUGGGUGCUAUGAAAAGCCUUAAUAGGACUAAAGUGUGAUUUUAGAUUUGCAAUAUAUAUAUGAAUUUUCUGGCUUCCUAUUGAGCCUCCAAAAGUAAUAUUCUGAUCUUUCCUAUAGAGCAAUGACUAUGAAAUCUUGUCAGUGUCUUGAUCUACAGAAGUUUUUUUUAAAGGGUACAGAAGAUGCUUUUUAAAGGGUACAAGUUCCUUUGAGUAAAUAUCUUAUAGAAGGACAAUUCCACUUACUUUACAUUACAAAAAUAAAAAUUCCAGCAGUUUCUAGAAUGUCAGCAGUUAAUCGAUUAAAAAUAUGGUACAUUAGAAGUAUUCAUUCAUCUUUCUGUUUCAUUUGAGUAGGACUUACCUAUGAAGUUGUACUUAUUUGUCAUUCAAACCGCACACAGACACACACAGGAAAAAAAAAAAAAAAAAGGAUGGAAAUUCCAAAAUUCCAAGUAUAUUUUUUAAAAAAAGUUUAAUUUUUUACUCUAGGUGUUUAUCAGGAUUGUUUGUAAUUGUAAAUUAAGAAAUUUUAUUUAUUGAAAUUAUAUUUACGUCUUUA
rnacentral:lncRNA from 1 species